AUUGAACGCUGGCGGCCGGCCUAACACAUGCAAGUCGAGCGAGCGGCGGACGGGUGAGUACUGCCUAGGAAUCUGCCUGGUAGUGGGGGAUCACGUCCGGAAACGGGCGCUCAUACCGCAUCCACUUAGAUGUGCCCAGAUUGGAUGAGCUAGUUGGUGGGGUAACGGCUCACCAAGGCGACGAACCCUCGCUGGUCUGAGAGGAUGACCAGCCACCCUGGAACGGAGACAGGGUCCGGACUCCUGCGGGUGGCAGGAGUGGGGAAUAUUGCACAAUGGGCGCAAGCCUGAUGCAGCCAGGCCGCGUGUAUGAAGAAGGCCUGCGGGUUGUAAAGUAAUUUCAGCGGGGAGGCGUUACCCGCAGAAGAAGCACCGGCUAACUCCGUGCCAGCAGCCGCGGUAAUUC
rnacentral:rRNA from 1 species